rnacentral:lncRNA from 1 species
UCUGUGUGUGGCCAUGUCCACUUAUGCUGGAAAGAGAACCUGAAUGCCAGACGCUCACAGCAAGGAAAUUCUAAGAAUCUGCCCUGCGAUGGCCCCUGUUGCCCGUGGAAGGCAGCAGCGGAUGUGCCUGGCGAUGCUAAGGCGUGCUACAAACGGUGCUCACUGGGGAGCCGUCCAUUUGCCCGGAGUUUUGCCAAAUCCCUGUCUAUUCCCGGAGGCUUCUGGCACAAGGGAUGCAGCAAAGAUGGGAUGGAGCGGCUGUCAGCCUUCGGCUGCAGCAGCCCCGAUGAUCCAAUGGGCGGAAGGAUAAAGCUGUCCCUUCAAGGCGGUUGCGGUAGCGUGUUAAAGAGGUCUGGGGUCCCGGUGAUCCAGAAGGGUAAUUAACAUGAUGGAAAGUAAGCAAUCGACAAGUAUGUUUAUGUAGCCUUUAGACCAGCACAGACCGAGUCCCUGGAAAAAUAGAGAACCUGACCUUGUAUCCAUGACUUGCCUUUUUGUUACUCAUUGCACCUGCCAUAGAAAAAACUCUACAUCCUACAGCAGGCCAGCCAAGUGGCUGUACCACCCUCCUGCAGGGGUCACCACUCCCACACCUCCCUCUGUCACUGCCUGGGAACAUUCCCGGCAAUUCACUUAGGGCAGGAGCCUUCAAUGCCCAUUAAGGGUUGAUGUCAUGUCAAGUACUACUGAUUUUACAUCAGCCACGGAAUGUGUAUUUGGUUCUUGCGUUCUGCUUGGUUUCCUGACUUAACAUUCAUGGUACUGCCUCAUUAUCUCAGGCCUGGAUAUAUGGGUGAGUGCACUAUGGUAAAACUCCUCUGAAAAUUACAGCAAAUGCCUUGCUUGUCUUGCACUUUGGGGAAUGAAGUGUCCCACUGAAAACACACACACACACACACACUCUACAUCUUUUAGGGGCCAAAAUAAUUUUUUUUUUUUGUCUUUUUGGCAUUUCUUGGGCCGCUCUCACAGCAUAUGGAGGUUCCCAGGCUAGGGGUCAAAUCGGAGCUGUAGCUGCCAGCCUACACCAGAGCCACAGCAAUGGGAUCCGAGCCGCGUCUGCGACCUACACCACAGCUCAUGGCAACGCCGGAUACUUAACCCACUGAGCAAGGGCAGGGAUCGAACCGGCAACCUCAUGGUUCCUAGUUGGAUUCAUUUCUGCUGCUCCACGACGGGAACUCCAAGGGCCAAAAUAAUUUUUAAAGAUCUUAAGCCUUUGUGAUGAAAAGCUUCCUAAACAUAUUUAGAUGCUUGCCUAGUUUAUUAAAAGGUAGAUAACUUUUUUGAUAACUCAUAGGAUCCUAAGUUACUGACCCUAUUAUUGGUUAUAGGUCGGCUGCUUAAUUUUUUGGGCUAGGAAAAAAAAAGGCUAGCUUUUGAUUACCAUUUCCCUUAAUUAGGAAAGAAGAUAAUCUUGAAAAAGGUGAUAGACCAAUAUAUUUAAGAUGCUCACUUAUGACCCCGUCUGUCUUGAGUUAACAUCUUACUAUAUUUUCAGAGUCUAGGGUCUGUAGAAUGCUGGAUCUUUUUUCUCAACAGAACCUGAACUCUCUCCCAUCUACAUCCAGCAGAAACAGCACAAUUUAUUUUUUCUUCUUAGUGUUUGAAUAUUACCCUGGAAUAAAGAAAAUGAUGCUGGAGUCCCCA